UUUGCUCAACAUUUCUCUAAUGAUUAUUGAUGUUGAGCAGCUUUUUCUGUGCUUAGUGGCCAUUUCUGUUCAGAUCUUC